AGCUUUAUAGUUUAAAAAAAAAAUAUUAAUCUUGUAAAUUAAAGUUAAUUAAUAAUUUAAAGCUU
rnacentral:tRNA from 2 species